GCCCUCGCGAGUCCGUAGCCAUCUCGCUUCCCCACGGCGUUCAGGGUUCGGCCCCUUCCCUCGGUCUUCUGCGCUUUUCUCCUAGAACCACCGGUGCAGGCGCGUGCCUCCUCCCCCCUCCAAAACUCGGUGCGCCCCGCGUCCGUUCAUUCAUUCAUCUCUAGACCGCAAGUGCUUCCCGACCUCGGCAUGUGGAGGUGCCCCCAGGCUGAGCCCUGGGGUCCCAGCGGCCAGCUGAUCACUGUUUGGAUCUGUCGCACUAGACUCGCUUUACCCACGCUCCCUCCCCGGGGAGGAGGGCUUCCUCCCACCACGGCAGGCAGGCGAGCGCUCUCCUUCUCUUUGGAAAGUCACUGCAGCUGUUGCACACCGCCCUGCCCACACGCCCCUGUUCCCGCCGAGAGGAGUCCCCCCUCUCGUUCAUCUUCGUUCUUCUCUCUCUUAUGCGCACACGUCCAUCUGUGCACAGCUCGUCUCCCUUCAGAGCUGUGUUUGAGAUGGCUCUUUGGCCGGAGAUGUUUACGAUGCUCAGUGUAGAAUAUCCUUUACAGUUUUGAUGCAUUACGACUGACUGUUCAUUAAGAUCCCAGAACGUGAGAUUUUUAUGAUGAGUUUUCCAAUAAUGAACAUACAUAUAACCUCACCGUAAUGAAAUUCUGCGGUCCUUCCCAUCGGGGAGUCGAUUGCUGGAAAGUCUUCCUAUCCACUCACUGUCAGCCAAUGAAAAUGGAACAACUAUAAACCCACUUUGCCUCACCCUGUAUUGAUAAUAUAUACCAUCUGUGAGUCAGAUAUAACUUUAGCAGGGUUGGGGUUAUUGUUUCCAGACAGCACACGUGGAAUGAACAUGACAAAUGUUUAAAAAAUUUGGUCAUUAAAAUGUUUUACUCUUGCA